ensembl:Y_RNA Y_RNA Y RNA
GGCUGGUCUGAUGGUAGUGGGUUAUCAGAACUUAUUAACAUUGGUGUCACUAAAGUUGGUAUACAAGCCCUCACUGCUAAAUUUGACUGGCUUUAC